CAAAGUUCCUCACGUGUUUCUAAUUAGCAAAUGGGGCUGAGAAUUACUGAGUUGGAGAACACAGUAGAAAGGUCCAGGCUCUGGAAUCUGCCCCAGCUGUUG